AACUGCGAGUGAAGCGGGAAAAGCUCAAAUUUAAAAUCUGGCGGUCUUUGGCUGUCCGAGUUGUAAUCUAGAGAAGUGCUAUCCGCGCUGGACCGUGUACAAGUCUCCUGGAACGGAGCGUCAUAGAGGGUGAGAAUCCCGUCUUUGACACGGACUACCAGGGCUUUGUGAUGUGCUCUCAAAGAGUCGAGUUGUUUGGGAAUGCAGCUCUAAAUGGGUGGUAAAUUCCAUCUAAAGCUAAAUAUUGGCGAGAGACCGAUAGCGAACAAGUACCGUGAGGGAAAGAUGAAAAGAACUUUGGAAAGAGAGUUAAACAGUACGUGAAAUUGUUGAAAGGGAAACGCUUGAAGUCAGUCGCGUUGGCUGGGGAUCAACCUUGCUCUUUUGCUUGGCGUACUUUCCAGUUGACGGGUCAGCAUCAAUUUUGACCAGUGGAUAAAGGUCAGGGGAAUGUGGCAUCUUCGGAUGUGUUAUAGCCCUUGGUUGCAUACAUUGGUUGGGAUUGAGGAACUCAGCACGCCGCAAGGCCGGGUCUUUGACCACGUACGUGCUUAGGAUGCUGGCAUAAUGGCUUUAAUCGACCCGUCUUGAAACACGGACCAAGGAGUCUAACAUGCCCGCGAGUGUUUGGGUGGAAAACCCGGACGCGUAAUGAAAGUGAAAGUUGAGAUCCCUGUCGUGGGGAGCAUCGACGCCCGGACCAGACCUUUUGUGACGGUCCCGCGGUAGAGCGUGUAUGUUGGGACCCGAAAGAUGGUGAACUAUGCCUGAAUAGGGUGAAG
rnacentral:rRNA from 1 species